rnacentral:rRNA from 1 species
AUUGAACGCUGGCGGCAUGCUUUACACAUGCAAGUCGAACGGUAACAGGCCGCAAGGUGCUGACGAGUGGCGAACGGGUGAGUAAUGCAUCGGAACGUGCCCAGUCGUGGGGGAUAACGCAGCGAAAGCUGUGCUAAUACCGCAUACGAUCUAUGGAUGAAAGCGGGGGACCGUAAGGCCUCGCGCGAUUGGAGCGGCCGAUGUCAGAUUAGGUAGUUGGUGGGGUAAAGGCCCACCAAGCCAACGAUCUGUAGCUGGUCUGAGAGGACGACCGGCCACACUGGGACUGAGACACGGCCCAGACUCCUACGGGAGGCAGCAGUGGGGAAUUUUGGACAAUGGGCGCAAGUCUGAUCCAGCAAUGCCGCGUGCAGGAAGAAGGCCUUCGGGUUGUAAACUGCUUUUGUACGGAACGAAAAGGUCUGGGUUAAUACCCUGGGCCGAUGACGGUACCGUAAGAAUAAGCACCGGCUAACUACGUGCCAGCCGCCGCGGUAA